rnacentral:pre_miRNA from 1 species
CGGGGCAGCUGGUGUUGUGAAUCAGGCCGCCGUAGUGCAGGGCACGGCUACUUCCCAACACCAGGGUCACG